rnacentral:rRNA from 1 species
GAUGAACGCUGGCGGCGUGCCUAAUACAUGCAAGUCGAGCGAACAGACGAGGAGCUUGCUCCUCUGACGUUAGCGGCGGACGGGUGAGUAACACGUGGAUAACCUACCUAUAAGACUGGGAUAACUUCGGGAAACCGGAGCUAAUACCGGAUAAUAUAUUGAACCGCAUGGUUCAAUAGUGAAAGACGGUUUUGCUGUCACUUAUAGAUGGAUCCGCGCCGCAUUAGCUAGUUGGUAAGGUAACGGCUUACCAAGGCAACGAUGCGUAGCCGACCUGAGAGGGUGAUCGGCCACACUGGAACUGAGACACGGUCCAGACUCCUACGGGAGGCAGCAGUAGGGAAUCUUCCGCAAUGGGCGAAAGCCUCGGAGCAACGCCGCGUGAGUGAUGAAGGUCUUCGGAUCGUAAAACUCUGUUAUUAGGGAAGAACAAAUGUGUAAGUAACUAUGCACGUCUUGACGGUACCUAAUCAGAAAGCCACGGCUAACUACGUG